GACUUCUGGUUUAAUGCACCUGGCCCGCGGCCCACAAGGCCUGUGAGUGCCGGCGCGCGUUUACCAACGGCUACCCUUAACUGGGCGGCUGGAACUGGAUCUUUUACUUUGAAAAAAUUAGAGUGUUUAAAGCAGGAACUGAAGUAAUGAUUGAUAGGGAUAGUUGGGGGUGCUAGUAUUGGCCGGUCAGAGGUGAAAUUCUUGGAUUCGGUAGCAUUCACCAAGGAUGUCUUCUUCUGUCUCUUAUACACA
rnacentral:rRNA from 1 species